GGGGGCUUAACACAUGCAAGUCGAGGGGCAGCAUGGUCUUUGCUUGCUAAGGCCGAUGGCGACCGGCGCACGGGUGAGUAACGCGUAUCCAACCUGCCUUACACUCUUGGACAGCCUUCUGAAAGGGAGAUUAAUACAAGAUGUUAUCAUGAGUAAGCAUUUUCGCAUGAUUAAAGGUUUACCGGUGUAAGAUGGGGAUGCGUUCCAUUAGAUAGUAGGCGGGGUAACGGCCCACCUAGUCUUCGAUGGAUAGGGGUUCUGAGAGGAAGGUCCCCCACAUUGGAACUGAGACACGGUCCAAACUCCUACGGGAGGCAGCAGUGAGGAAUAUUGGUCAAUGGACGAGAGUCUGAACCAGCCAAGUAGCGUGAAGGAUGAAGGUUCUAUGGAUUGUAAACUUCUUUUAUACGGGAAUAAACGAAUCCACGCGUGGAUUUUUGCAUGUACCGUAUGAAUAAGGAUCGGCUAACUCCGUGCCAGCAGCCGCGGUAAUACGGAGGAUCCGAGCGUUAUCCGGAUUUAUUGGGUUUAAAGGGAGCGUAGAUGGGUUGUUAAGUCAGUUGUGAAAGUUUGCGGCUCAACCGUAAAAUUGCAAUUGAUACUGGCAGUCUUGAGUACAGUUGAGGUAGGCGGAAUUCGUGGUGUAGCGGUGAAAUGCUUAGAUAUCACGAAGAACUCCGAUUGCGAAGGCAGCUUACUAACCUGUAACUGACAUUGAUGCUCGAAAGUGUGGGUAUCAAACAGGAUUAGAUACCCUGGUAGUCCACACGGUAAACGAUGAAUACUCGCUGUAGGCGAUAUACAGUCUGCGGCCAAGCGAAAGCAUUAAGUAUUCCACCUGGGGAGUACGCCGGCAACGGUGAAGCUCAAAGGAAUUGACGGGGGCCCGCACAAGCGGAGGAACAUGUGGUUUAAUUCGAUGAUACGCGAGGAACCUUACCCGGGCUUAAAUUGCAACCGAAUAUGGCGGAAACGCUAUAGCUAGCAAUAGCGGUUGUGAAGGUGCUGCAUGGUUGUCGUCAGCUCGUGCCGUGAGGUGUCGGCUUAAGUGCCAUAACGAGCGCAACCCUUGCCGAUAGUUACUAACAGGUCAUGCUGAGGACUCUGUCGGGACUGCCAUCGUAAGAUGUGAGGAAGGUGGGGAUGACGUCAAAUCAGCACGGCCCUUACGUCCGGGGCUACACACGUGUUACAAUGGGGGGUACAGAGGGCUGCUACCACGCAAGUGGAUGCCAAUCCCAAAAACCUCUCUCAGUUCGGAUUGAAGUCUGCAACCCGACUUCAUGAAGCUGGAUUCGCUAGUAAUCGCGCAUCAGCCACGGCGCGGUGAAUACGUUCCCGGGCCUUGUACACACCGCCCGUCAAGCCAUGGGAGCCGGGGGUACCUGAAGUGCGUAACCGCAAGGAGCGCCCUAGGGUAAAACUGGUGACUGGGGC
rnacentral:rRNA from 1 species